rnacentral:lncRNA from 11 species
CUGACCUAUAUUUUUGGGGGAGUUCCUUUACCAGCACCGUUCCAGUGUCAGAUCUCUGAAGGCUCUUGUCGUUUGCAACUUAAAGUUCUCCAACCUCGAGACUGAAAUAGAAGUCUCACAUUGUCACAGGAAGCUGAAGGAUAGAGAGCAGCAAAUUCUCAUGGUGUUGAUCAAAUGGCACAUGGCACAUUCACAACUUGAGAUGCAAGAAGAAGGAGACAUGCUUCUCAUGUAACUGAUGACUGACACACUGGUCUUAUAUUGGAGGAGAAAAGAAGAAGUUGCAUCUCAUUUUUCUUCAUCACUCCACCUAAUUUAUUAAUCCUGUUACCCAAGAAAGCUGAAGAAUAGAGCCCAUGUUUCCUCCUAUCUUCACUCUUGUCUACUUGUUUUUUUUCCUCUCUCCUUUUCAAAGAAUCACUACUCAUUAGUGGGAAACCUAGUUUUGCUUGUGAUAUAAGAAGAAAUAUAAGAUGCUAAUGAUUUUCCUAAACAAUAAAAA